ACUGUUCCCCGGCUGGCUGUAGCGGACGCCUGCAAAACAAGACGGACCCCACAGCAGCCGUGAGUGCCCCCAGGGCCUUGGAACACAGACUCGGCUCCCCUUGUUGGCAAGGGUGGACGCCAGGAAGGCCAAGUAGCCUUCUCCUCCCCCCGUCUGCUCACAAGAAACACUGGCCAUCUUUCUCUAGGUUAGAGGUGGCGUGGGCUUGACUUCAAAUUCUAGAAUGUAAGCUCCCCAAGGGCAGGGCAUUUUUGUCGGUUUUGUUUUGUUCAUGGUGGUAUCCCUAGUGUCUUGUCACUUGGUAACCACUUCAUACAUACCUGUCAGAGGAAAGAAGGAAGAAAGGAAGGGAGCAGGGAAAGAGGAAGGGAGGGCAGGAGGGAGGAAGGAAGGAAGGAACUCCAAUGCACGAGAGGAUUCCCCUCGUUGUUGCUUUAGCGUAAUUGUUUCAGGAUUUAGGUGCGGAGAUUGGCCUUCUCUUCCUGGUAAGAGUAUUUCUUUUACUCUUCCAAAUGCCUUCUAGAAAUGUUUUCCCAGCACUCAUGGCAAUGUGGAGCCUGCCAAGUACGAGCAGACCCAUUCUACAGAGAGGCACUUGCCCAGGGAGGACCCCUGCAUGAGCCAUAGCAGAAGGCAUCCAUCGCUGCACACCAUGGUUUUGGCUGAGACAGAGAGGCCCCUGGGGGGACACAGGCAGAGCAGGACAGGGAUGUGGGGCUGCGGCUGGGAGUCUUGGGCUCUGUAAUUCACAUUCCUCUGAUGGGGUCCCAUCUGGCUGGCUUCCCAGGGCCCAGGGGAAGGUGCAGCCACCAGGAGGUGGGGCAGGGAGCACAUCCUGGAGGGAUGUGGAUGAUUAGUCUGCAAGGGAGGGGAGAACCAAGCAUGCUUAUAGCUUCACUGCUCUGACUCUGCCUCUUGCUCAGGAACCAAAACAGAGGUCUGCGCUCAGAAAGGCAAAAGUGCUGUGCAGAGGUGGCCUACAGAAGGAAGGAGAAAGGGGGUGGGGGGCAAAGAACCCGGGCCCAGUUUGCAGGGUCAAAGUCUCGCAGGAUGUGCCCAGGAGACAGCCAAAGACAAAGCUGGGGGGUCUCCGGGACACCUCACCUAAGCUCAAAGCUGAUGGAGACCAUGUUCUUGUUUUUCACUUUGGAUUCAACAAAAAGGUUUGAGGGACCCUGGGUCUACCUGCAAGGUAGGGAGAUGGAAUGCUCUCGGCAUGCCAUUGCUUGGAGAGGUGGGCCAACUGUCUGGCUACAAUUCUCCAUCUGCCAGCUUUCCCCAUAUUAACUCUGACUGUAUGAAGGACACUGGUUCUGUUGGUCUGUCUCCCGCUGCCCUGCUUCCUGCUCCCCCAGGGCCCCACCCUCCCGAGGAGGCUACAAAGCCCCCCCUCCCACCAGGAGCCUCCAAAUCACUAACACGAAGCUUGCCAAAAGGAGACCCAAGCCAGUUUUCCUGGCACCAUCCAAAGGACGUUACCCAAGGCUGAUAUGACCCAGAGCCAUAAGGGACUAGGAAGAAAACAAACAAAUGCUAAGGCAGACUUCCAACCUUCAAAAGCAAUCUGCCUGACUCUGAGCGGCUGUGUGUUCUACGGACCUUCUUCUAUUGGUGGUUGUCCUCAUCCUUUGAUGCUUGGGGCUGCUGGUGGGGGUGGCAGUGGGACAGCAUUGGAAUUUGGUGGUUAUUGGUCUAGGGCACUCCACUUUGGGGGGAACAGGAGCCAUAAUGUUAAAAGGAGGAAAGGCUUCCCUGCCUCCAAACCAGCACCCCUUGCCUGGUCCUGCCCAUGUUCCUCCACAGCCACCUGCAGUCCCCAAAGUCUCUCUACUCUGCCCCACUGGGUCACAUUAGGUUCUUUUUCUCCACUCACAUUUCCCACUGGACUCCUGGCAGGGUGUGUCCCAACAGCUCCCAGUGCUGUUAUGCAGAAGAAGAAAGAUGUGUGCCUUGUGAGCUCAGGAGCCAGAGCAGAUCCCAUGGAAAAGAGGGAGGCUGGUUUUACAUCAGCAAGAGAAAGAGAUUUCUGACAAGGAGGGACAGUGAGGAAGACCGUGGGCUCAGGAGCUAGAGAAACUCGGGCUUGAUUCCUGAAUUUGCUCUUUGGAGAUGAUCUUGGGAAAAUGACUUUUCUGUCUGUGCCAUAGCCUUGUCUCAUACGAUGGAGGAAACAUAUCCUUAACACAGUGAUCUCGAGAUAGGAGAAAAUAUCUGUAAGUCUCCUAGCCUAAUGCUAAAAAGGGGUAACUAUAGGUGGGGAGGGGACUAGUAUGGAGAGGGACCCCAAGGUACCUGUCCUAAGACUCUGGAAUUCUAGACAACCCGGGGCAGGUGCUAAGCACCCAGUGGAAUGACCUGUCCUUGGAGAAGGGCUCCCCAAGGAUCCUUCCCUGAAGAAGCCCUGAGGUUUUGCUCUGGAAGCAACCUGGGAGGCAGGCCUGGCCUCUGCUGCUCUCAUUCUUUCCUUCUGGAGGGACUGGACUUCACCCUGUUUUCUCCGACUCCCGGGCCAGCUAUUUACCUCCCCAAGAUGCUCUGCUCCGGAGAGCGCGGUGAUAACGCGGGAGUCAGGUGUGCGUUCCUCUCCCAGCCCGUCCCCGCCAUCGAUUCAGCCUCAAGUCAAACAGACUCCGGUUGUAGCCUAUUUAAUUUGGCCGAAGGAAGAGGGCCAGUCCUCUGAUGAUCAAAUAUGGGUCAUGGAGAGGCUUCUCCCCUACUGCAGGCUACAGAAUUAUUUAUUUAAAAAUAAUUAACCAAGGAUAUCCACAGGAAACAAAAGCCUCCUUUUAGGAAGGAGCCUGGCAGAAGGGGUGUCGAGAGCCAUUUGUUAGAACCCCAGCAAUGUAGCCCGAGGCUGCCGUGGUUUUUAAACCUCGUUUUCUUGCCCAGCAGAACUUCAUUCUAGGAGAAAUGUCAAGGUGGGGCUGUUGUGUUAAAAGACCGGUGGGCCUAGACCUCUGGAUAAGAGGGAGCAUCGGGAGGGAGUUAGGGGAUCCCUCUUUGAUCCCAGCCCUGCCUUCAGUGUAUUGGGGGAACCCCAGCUUCCUCACCUCUGAGCCCGCUGGGAGAGGGGGCUGCUAUCACCCCCUGAGUGUGGUGGGAGUGAGGCAGGGGGCUGCUCGCCCGUUCCUGAUUCACCUGUGACCUUUCCGACCCGUGCUCCUCUCCCCAGGAGUCUGGGAAUCACUCUGGGCCCAGAGAAGGUGGCUCUGGGAUCAGGCAGCCGCCUGAAAGGGCGCGUGGAGGGGGAAAGUGUAUCACAAGGUAUCUGCUGGCGAUGCACCAGAAAUAGUGUUCUCGUUGGAGGAAGGAGAGGCCAGGUCCUUGGGUAUUUCACAAACCCAGAAGAGCGCUUCAAAGGAGAAGGAGCGAGGGGGAGGCUCUGGAACCCAGCAACCUGGGCUGAAAUCCUGGUUUUACCACACAUGCGCUGUGUGACCUUGGGGAAGUGACUAAACCUCCCUGAGCUUCAGUUUCUUUGCUGUUUAACAGUCUCUGCCCCUUAGGUCAAGACGAAUGACCUUAAGAGAUGUGAAAGUCCCCAGAAACUGCCUAGCACAUAACAAUUGCUCAAGAUACCUCAGCUCCUUCUACCUUGGGACCAUCUUUGUCUAAAAGAUGUUUUCAGGAAGGCUGAGAUCACAAAACUUGACUGAGCCCCUGUCACAGGCCAGGUACUACACUAGGGCAGUAGAAUGGCCUCUCCCCUUCUUCCUUUACCUCCAUGAACUCUGAACGGGAAUAUACCACCAGGGCUCUGGUUUAAUACGACUGACUGAAGAUGCUGAGUCAAUAGCCCCAGAGGUCCCCGGAGGUCCAGAGGAGACAGACAAUGCCAGAAGGUGGUCUUCUACCUUGCACUCACUUCCUGGCUCAAGGCACUCACUGGCCACGUCCCCAUUGCUGGUCCUAGGAACCACAGCACGUUGUGUCCAGCAGCCAAAGUCCUCCCAGCUAGAAUCCAGAACCAUCCCUGAGGUCCUGGGGAGGAGGUGACCUACUUCACCUGUUCCUAGGCCUCAGGAUCAUGGGUAUGGGGCUCUUUCUAAAUUCCUGAUGGCAUGUGGGACAGAGACAACACAUCCAGUUUCCAUGCAAUACGACCGGUCAGAAGUAUCAAGGCAUGACGGAACUCAUGGUUCCAGAAGCCAGCAUCUUCACACUCGGCUUCCUGUGCCAGCACCCUCCUACAGGGCACUCUUCACUUUGCUGCAGCCAGGGAUUUCUUUCCGAAACAAACUCGUACCAUGUCAUUGCCCUGUUUGAAAAUCCAGCAUGGCCCCUCACUGCCUCCUGUAAAAGCCACAACAGCAAGGACUAGCAGAAUCAGGCCUUUGGGACUCCAAGCACCUUGGCUGUAGCCUCUCACACAACGCCCCCAUACAGCCAUAUCAGAGCACCUGCUGUCCGUCAUGUUGGCCUGUUCACCCCCUGCUUCCAUGCCUUUGCUUCUGCUGUUCCCUCUGCUGGGAAAGCUCUUCCCUUCUUCUCCAUGUCACAUCUUUUUUGUUAAGAGGGCUUAAUGUCACCACUUCUGUGAAGCUCUCCUUGAUUCAUCCUGGUAGUUACCUGCUUUGCCCUUUGCAUUUUACACACAGUUGAGAACCUUACAGCAGGAGUCCGUCCCCUGGCACCAUAAUGUUCCUUUGACAGGGUACUUCUCUUUCCCUCUUAAAGGAAGGCAUGGCUAUUUACUCAUUGUGGCAUCCUCAGAGCCUCACAGAGAGCCUGGGACUGUGACUAUUUACUGAAAGAAGGAAUGAGCCUUCAGCUGCUUUGAGCAGGCAUGCCCCAGGACAAGAGAGCAUCCCUUCCGGCGGAAGGAGAAAAUGCAGUCAGUCCUACGGGAAUGCUGGUGUUAAAAGCAUGCAUCUGUUCCAAUUCUAUUGAUACAUUAUGGAAUAAUCUGAAUGCAACGUGAAUUUCCCAUUUGAGGAAUCCAGAAACCUGCACCCAGCCAAGCGGAGCCACAGGGGAAAACACUGAACACAUUAGUGUGCACGUGCACACGCAGACGAACACACACACCCCCUUCAAGCCUCUACCAGCUACCAGCAGUUCCCUGCAUGGGCUAUCGGCCACCUCCACCCAUAUCUGGAGUUAGAACUUUCCCUUCAAUUUCUGACAGUCCUCCGCCCACCACCUCAUGGGAACUCACAGGCUGAAGCCCUUGUGACACCUGCUCCCCUUUGCAAACUUUAGGGCUCUUUCAAGGUAAAAUGCCAUAUAUUGUUGCACUGAAACACUUCCUAACCAGUUCACAGGAGUAAAACUCUGCUCAUCUUUUUAUUAGAUUUUUAUCUCUUCAAAGGGUGUUCACUGGAGAAGUUUUGAGUAGUGUGUCCUUAACCCCAUUCCCCCCCAACCCAUAAACCUCAUGGUUUAUGCGUGACUUUACAGAGCACUGUGGUUUUUCUGACGUCAAUGUCAGCUUCUACAGAACUGGCUAUGGACCUGUGUUUGAGGCCAGAUACAACUGCCUUGCAGGAGGACCUGGGAGAGGACCCACUCAGGGUGUAAUUAACCACAAGGACUUUUCAGAAACCUGUGCUUCAGGGGGCGGGAACUAUAGCUCCCUGAGAGCUUCUAAAAACAGCCGGAAUGCCACAAUUCCAGAAAUCAACAGGCCAUCAGCAUCGAGACACUUGAAAUGAAUUCUCUCUGUCUCUCUGCCUUGAUGAUCCUGGGCCGGUCAACUUGGGCAUCUCGGCAUUCUUAUCUACAAGAUGGCCGUAUGGAUUUUCCUUCCUCAGAAGCCAGAAUACUGAGUGAGUAAAAUAAAGUGAGAGAAGCACCGGGUUUUCCAGGGAGAGAAAAAGCCGGGCAAACAGAAGAGCCAUGUCAGCCAGGGAAACAUGACCAGAAUUGCUCUUUUAUAGGAAGUGGGGGGAAGAGGGGGGUGAGGCCUCCUGGGCAAUUGUGAAGCUUGGCUUGUCCCCACGUGGCCUCUGGCACUGAAGCCAGGGCCCCCAUUUUCCUGGGGUCUGUGAGUUGUACCCAGAAUCUGGUGGGAUGCCUUUCACCCUUGACGUUUCCAAGCCAAUCUCCCAUCCCUGAUAAUGCAGGAAUGUUCCUCCAACCGGUGGACCUUUGCCAGCGCGAACGAGCGUCCCAGCCACCAACAGAGUAAACAUUACUCAACGGGCCAGGGCUCUGUCACACACAUUCUUCCCGUGUGUUUCUAACCUCAUGCAGAGCACAGCCCAACCCUGUUGGGUCGAGAAACUGGGAACUUAAGCCCAGGCAAGAGGGAGCGUGUGAAGGAGAAAAGGAAACAACCCUGUCCAUCAAUUAUGGGCAGACAGAGCUGUCUUUGCUAUGACGCCAGAACUCAGGGCCGGGGAGGGGGUCAGGAGGAAUCAGGUCAGUCCCGAUGGGGGCCCGGUAAUGGUGUCCACAGCAAUCCACUCCCCCUUUUUCCACAUGAUUCCGUCUUGGGAACUUCUGAGACGCUCAUCUGGGAUAAAAGUGGGCGCACCGUUCCCCGCUGUGUGACUAGAACUCCAGCAACGAGAGCUUUCCAUACAGGAGACAGCCCUGCUGCCUCAGUGUCCUCAUCGGCGACACGGGACUCCUGCCAGUUCCUAGUCCUAUUUCCUCCUCUCUGGGCAUCAAGAUUAAUGUUUGCAGAGAGUUCAGGAGAUUAAAAAUCUGAAAGCCUGAGAGGAAAAAGCUGAUGUAAGAUGAAAGCAGUUCAAACACUAGGCUGGUUUCAAUUCCACAUCGCCUUCUACCUGAGGUGGCUCGGUGAGGAGGCCGGCUCGUAAGGGCAGAAACACAGACAGGCCCGCGGGGACGGUAAACACUCUUGAACUCAAGGAGUAAAGUGGAGUGAUACUUAAGGGAAGCCCACAAACUGGUUUUCUUAUAAAAAUCAAAGCAGAGGGAGCCAAGAAAAGAAAGGGGGGAAAAAAAGUCGUUUUCCAUUAAAGCAUCUGGGCUGAGAACAGACCCUAACGUGUACAGAGCGCCUGAGAAAAUCACACAUGUGGGGAGGUAGAAGGGCAACAGAAACUUUGCCUGUCCUCCCCAUGAGGCCCGCUGGGCCACCCCGCCAGGUCCUUACCCCAGAGUCAGUGGCUACAGGUAAACAUCAGACAACUGGCAAUGAGCACUACAGCCUAGAGUCCGUGGCUACAAGUGAGAGAGGCCAGGCUAGCCCUUGAGAGCUCAAGAAGUCCUCACCUCUGUGAGUGCCCUACACAUGCUGCUCUCCGUGUGUCCCAGAUGCCCAUCUGACAGAAUGGAAAACUGAGGUUCAACGAAGAAGAGGUUAUUUUCACUACCUCUGGCUCCUUGUCUCCCCUCCAAAGCUGACCCUUCUUCCUCUUUCCUGUAGACCCCGAAUCGAUUCCAGGAGGAUGAACCUCAACCUCCCCAAAAGAUGGUGUAAGAGCGAGGACACAACAUGUGGGGUGAAUGAAGGCUGAUGAGGUCUUUCUGCCCCUCGCUGGCAAGCUGUCCAGGUACAUUCUGGGCUUGGCUACAGGCCAUACCAAUAGGAAGCACAUUGCCAGGCUCUGCAAACCGUACGCAGCCCACCCUGAGCCCGGAGCUCCAGCCUGCUGUCUGCCGAGCCUGGGGUGUGUCCCCUGGAAGCCCCAGCACAGUUCACUGCUACCCCUGCAGCCUAUCACACCUCCCAGCGUCCUGCACC